rnacentral:misc_RNA from 1 species
GAUGAAGAACGUAGCGAAAUGCGAUACGUAAUGUGAAUUGCAGAAUUCAGUGAAUCAUCGAGUCUUUGAACGCACAUUGCGCCCCCUGGUAUUCCGUGGGGCAUGCCUGUCCGAGCGUCAUUGCUGCCCUCAAGCACGGCUUGUGUGUUGGGCCUCCGUCCUCCUCCCGGGGGACGGGCCCGAAAGGCAGCGGCGGCACCGCGUCCGGUCCUCGAGCGUAUGGGGCUUCGUCACCCGCUCUUGUAGGCCCGGCCGGCGCUUGCCGACACAUCAAUCUUUUUUCCAGGUUGACCUCGGGUCAGGUAGGGGUACCCGCUGAACUUAAGCAUAUCAAUAAGCGGAGGA